rnacentral:tRNA from 4 species
GCCGGUGUGGCGGAAUUGGCAGACGCGCGGGACUCAAAAUCCCGUGUCUUCACAGACGUGUCGGUUCGACCCCGACCACCGGUAUCA